rnacentral:sRNA from 1 species
AAUGGAGGAAGCCAGCAGCCAAUGAGCAGCGCCUCCAGGGGCGGGAGCAGAGAGACAAGGAAAUGCUGUCACCGCCGUUAACAAGCACGUGGAGGUUUGUUAAAGGUAGUGGGAGGCAUAAUUCUUAGUCAAUGAGAGACAGCAGUAGCCAAUCCAGAAUACCAGGGACAGGUGCGGUGCCGGCAAACUGACUUCAGGCUGUGGAUGUACGGCUGAGAGAGAAGUAGGAAACCCUGACAGUGCUCAUGCUGGCUUUGAUCCGGCUGGAGCAGCCUGUGGUGGAAAUGGCUCUAUAUAGCCUUGGUGUCUACCAGCAUCUGGAGUGGGAGCCACAAGAGCCAUGUAGACAGGCACCUAGCACUGUGCCAGCAACGUGGGGCUGACUGGCUCUGGGGAAGAGCUGUUGGCAGUGCUGGCGACAAGGAUAGAGUGUGAGGCCUGGUGACAGGAUGGCAGCGCAGAAGCCUCAGCGCUCAGGAGCUGCGGUCCUGGCUGCUCUGAGGGCUCUGCCACUGUAACUGUCACCAACAAUAGGACAAACAGAACUCUUGAACUGCUUUGGCACAGCGCACACCCUUCUGUGAGCACGCUCAUGGGAAUGUCACAUAAACUCAAGGACAUUUUGUGAAACAACUGCCUGUGGCCUUCGAAAGCAGCAAGGCCAUGACUGUCAAGGUAAAAAGUGCCGAUCCUCGAAGCCCUGGGUUAAACUCCAGCUUCAUGGUGGUGGGGGUGUGAGGAACUAUUCCUGAAAGAGAGAUUGACCAGAGACGUGUGACUACUGUACAUGAGGUGGACAGAGCCCAUGGGCAGUGCUGGAAUUACUAAGCAAAGCAUGCAGGAAACCUGAGUGGUGCCUCCCCAUUGGACACCAGCAUUUCACUAAUGGAGACCACAAGAGGACGCUGAGUCCUCUGGGAGUGGAGUUACAGCUGGUUGACAACCAACAUGAGGAGUCUAGACUGAAGGGGAAAACGCAUACUCACAUGCCCACGUGCACACACAAUGAAUGAAGCACAAGAAACCAUCUCUCAGGGAGAAGCAGAGGUGGAGAGAAGCAAGGAUAGAGCUCACUUGUAAUCCCAGCACUGAGGCUGCAGCAGGAGGAUUCCAAGUUUGAAGCCAGCUUUGGCUGUGCAGUGAGGUAAAGGCCUACCUGGGACACAGGGAGACCCUGUCUCAAAAAAGGAAAAAGGUCUGGCUGCACCUGUUAUUUUUCUUGUCAUUAGCAGUGGCCAGCAUUUUUUUCCUCCUGAACUUUCUUACUUUACACCAAAUUCUAUGGUUCUGGCUCAAAUUCUCACUCUUGCCGUUAUAUGUAAUCUUACAAUAAAAAUACUUUAUUAUGAAAGUAUACAUAUCUAGCCUGUUAUGGCCCCAGAGCUACUCCAUAAGGAAAGAAAAAACAGACCAGUUUUCCCUGUUCCAUCUGCUUUCUACAGAGGGAACUAUGUCUACUUGGCCUAAGACCUGAAGAGAUCUCAGGGCAGAAGCCAUUUCCUGCCACCCCAAAUGAUGGUGACUCCAGCUUCCCAUCAGAUCUGCUGCUGAUCUGCCUCUGUUUCAAAAGCAAGCCAAAGGGGUCCCUGAAAGAUAAAGGGUAAAGAGAAACAGACAGGCUGGCCAGGAAGCAACACAGUGCCUUCAGUGGUCACCAGGCUCCAAGCCCGUGAAAUGCUGCAGAGCAAGGGAGAUCCUGCAGAGGCUGCCAACUGUGAAACCAGAGGACAGACGGCUCUUGCAAAGUGGACACGUAGAUUCUAGGACAUCACAGACACAGAUCUCUGCAGAAUCACUGUAGCCAUGAAGGGACAGCUGCAAAUAAAAGUAUGCAGUUGCAAAAACCAGUCCUGUAGGCACAGCCAGUUGCUUUUAAAGGUUCUAGAUGGAGUCAUCGGCAAAAAGCAGGCACCAUGCAUUUUGUUUCAACUGACACUGAAAUGCUCAUAGUAUUUUUGUGAACAAGAAAGAGGAAAUGAAGGCUGGGUGAUCAUCUUACUUGGGGCUAAGGGUGGUGGGUAUAAGCCAAGGUACCUCCAAGUCAGCCUGGGCUCAGGACCAGGGACCACAGGCAUCCUGGGUCUUUUUACUGACAUGUUUUCCUUCUGGUAAUUGUCAUCUUAUUUUAAUUAUUUACUUACUGAGUAUCACAUUAGUCUAGCCUCUGACUGCUGGAAUUUAAAGCAUGCAUGUUUAGUUAACAAAAACUAUUUAAGAAAAACUAAAAAAUUCAAUUAUAGGUAAGAAAAAUAACGUUCCUCAUAUAGUAUUCCCCACACUGGGCUAUAUUUGGAGACUUGGGCCCACUCUUAGGGGUAUUUCCAGUGAGAGACUUUCAAGCUUCUGACCAUGGUACUUACUCUGUAAGUCCAAAGAACAAAACCAUGCCACCUGUGUGGAUGUUCAAGAAGCCAGGUUUCUGUUUAACUCAAAGAUACCUUUGCAUGCCUCUGGAGGUGAUGUUUCCCUUUCUCUAAAAUUGUUUAACCAGAGACAAGGUGUAUAUUCUGUUGGAGUUGGGACAGAGAAGUGGGGUAAAAAGUUGGACUAAACUUUCUUUCAAAUGUUAUCCUUCUGAGAUGCAAGGGAGAUCAGGUGAGAGGGACCCUGCCUAGCAUGUACAAGGGCCUUGGUUACAUACCUAGCACGUAAAACAGAACAAACAAACUAAGCAUUUUCAGACCAUGUUGUGCUGAUAAAAGCAUAGGACAAGUUAGCUGCUGGCAGGGCCAGGAAGGCAGGCAGUCGGUCUCCUAGGAGGCUCUCAAGAUUCGUUUACUUAACAAAGCUUGGUGAAUGAUGAUGCCCUUCCUGCAUUAUGAAACACAGAGGCAUGCAGUGGAGCAGAGUAAAAGGAAGUGUAGCAAAGACAGACCAGGACUUCCUCACCGGCUUCCUAAUCACCUCUCUCCCUCUGUAGCCCUGGAUCAAUCAGUUUGGAAACCUGGUUGGGCUCAGAGUUCUCAACCUGUGGGUCAUGACCCCUCUGAAGGGGUGUCAAUUGGCCCUUUCAUAGGAGCCUCACACCAGAUAUUCUGCAUAUCAGAUAUGUGCAUUAUAAUCCAUAAUAGCAAAAUUACAGUUAUGAAGUGGCAACAAAAUAAUUUUAUGGUUAGCAAUCCCCACACUUAGGAACCAUGUCAACUGGUCACAGAACUAGGAAGGUUGAGAGCCACUGGGUCAGAGGGGAACUGCUCUCCCGCUGAGGCUGCGGGCUGCUGCUCCCGGCUGCAUGCCUCAUCUUAGUUGCAUUUUCCUCCCCAGCUGGCUCUCAAAAUACUUCUUUAGUCUAAAACCACUAUGGGUGUCUCCUACUGUCACUGAGAGCUUUGUGUGGUCCCUGGGCAAUCAAAUGGGAGAAACAUUUCCCUGCCACUGCAGAAUUGUAUUCUGGAAAGAGAAAGAGAAGGAAAGAGAGAAGUACUUCUGGUUGGUGUGUAAGUGGAUGUGGUUAAGGAGAGACACACCCGCAGAUUCUCCGAGCAGCCUCUCUUCGUCUGGAACCCUGUGUUUAGAAUUUGUAAUGUGGGGGUUGGGGAUUUAGCUCAGUGGUAGAGCGCUUGCCUAGCAAAUGCAAGGCCCUGGGUUCGGUCCCCAGCUCUGAAAAAAAGAAAAAGAAAAAGGAAAAAAAAAAAAAAAAAAGAAUUUGUAAUGUGGAUGCAAGUCAUGCUUGACCCUUCCUCCACACCACUGAAAGCACCGAGUGGAACAGAAAGCCGCAGAGGGGCUCACAUGUAAUUCUGCAAUUGCUUCACACCACUUCCACUACACUACACAGUUUUCUUUCUGUGUGAGGGCCGGACCCAGGGUCUCACAUAUGUACGGCAAAUGCUAUAUAUAUAUGUGAACUAUUUCCAGCUCAUCCAACAUUUUUUAAUAAUCCCACGGUAUGUGGUCGCUGAAACCUACAAUUUAGCAAUAUAGGUAAUAAGAAUUACUGUAUAUUUCUCCUUUUUUACAUUUAUUUAUUUUGUGUGUGUUUGAACACAUAUGAAAGUUACAGAACAAUUUGGAACCAGUUCUUUCCACCACGUGGGUUCUCCAGGUACUGAACCCUGGUUAUCAAGUUCGGCAGCAAUCACCUUAUCCUCCACUGAACCAUAUCUCACACCCUUACCAAAUAUUCUUGAAAGAAAAAGCAUGCACGUCUCUCAGCUGUAGAAUCUGGAUCUUAUUAUUAAUUCAUUUCCGCUAACACUCCCUAAGUCUCCAGGCUGAAGGCUGGCAGUCAUCUUUGAUACAAGCAAAAUGACCAGCACAUCUCGGCCCCAAGAAGUCCUGAGGGGCUGAAUAAGGUGGCAAGGAGGAAGGAGUAUCAGGUAACUGAGGGACUCGACAGAACCCAAAGCUGACAGAAAAGCACCUAAUUCCCAGACUCCUCAUAGCAUCUGCCUCCCUCAUAUCCCUCUAGUACAGCCUUCGCCCCCUGCUGUCCUCUCCAAACCUCCCUCCACUCUGCGGGCUGCUUCUACCAGGUCACCAGACCUCGCUCAUGGCUGCCCCCCUGCCAAUUCACUCCAUCACUAAAAUACUGACAUUCUUCAACAAGUGUCCCUUCUCACCCAAGAUCUCUUUCCUUAGGGGACUGUGUCUGUUCACAUGGCUUCAGACAGCUUCCACGGGUUCAUUCCCAGGUCUGUGUUCAGCCCAGCCCUCAGUGGCCCUUCCCUGGGUCGGCCAGACACUCCCAACCCAGAGCACUCCCUCCUGACCGGUUUGUUCUUCCCUCCCAGCCUCCAUGGCCCUCCCUUUGGAUCCCAGGAGCUUAUCUCUGCUGCCCUUCCCUUGCUUACGGCUCUUCUGUCCUUUCUAGCUGAUGCUUGGACCUUUAGGCCAGUUUUCAUUUUCCUCCCUAGCAAAAUUUAUUGACAGCCAUUUUGUAACAGGUAUAUCAUGUCUUUGGGAUCCUUUCUGGACUGAGAUGAAGUCAGGACUUUGCUAGCAUCCAGCACCCAUUACAGUGAGAGCAGGCCUAAGGUAUGGAUGGGGUAAGGACCUGCUCUUCUGAGUAAGCUGUGCUGGUCUUCACUGAACUGCUGAUACCAGCUCUGGUUCCUGGUACAGUUCUGGGAGAGGAGGAAGAAUAGUCUUUGGAAUGUGUGGUUGUAAUGUCAGCAGGACCCUGAGCAUUACCCUCCUGGUGGACAGUUGGGGCCUCGUCAUUCUUGGUACCAGUUUCUCUCCUUUCUGUUCGCUAAUCCAUGGCAUGGUCCUUGCUUAAAUGACCUCUCAGCUCAGGCAGAACUCCCACCCUCAGCCUCCAGGGCAGCUUUCAACCUCUGGCCCACUCUAUCCAGUCAGGUCACUUUGGGAAGACUAAACUCGGAGCCCUACCCAGCCUCUCCCCUGACUACACCUCCCCCUUAGUUUGCGGAAGCUCCACUGAUAAGCUGAGAGGAACCAAGCACCCAGCCUCCUCCCUCCUUGUCUGCCAUUCUCUCUCCUGAGCCUGAAGCCAGCACUGUCCCUUUGGCCAUUUAGAAUCCCUAAAGGUUGUUUCUCACUUACUCUCCAGAAGCAGAUGACCUUGUUGGGUGCCAGUGCGCACUCCUGUGGCACCCUUGGCAAAGCUGGCCUCACCAUAGAGUAGGGAGCUUAGGUGGCUCUAUGCUGGAGGGGUGGGUGGGCUUUCUCUGGCCGACAUUAACAGGAAGGACCCUGAGCCCUGGUUAUCAGGCUGUCCUAGGAUGGACUGGCUCAAAGUCCACACUUGGACCCUAGGCUACUGGGCCGUUAUUUUUUUUUUUUUAAAUCCUUCCCAGCUAUGGCUUCCUUAGCCCUCCACUAUGGUAUUUCCCUAGUAGGAAUUUCGCUCUGCACAAACAGUCCUUCUGGUGGCUAUUUUGGUCAGUCUGGCUGGGCCAGAAGCCAGUAAAGCAGUUCCUAAGGCCAGGUUUUCCCAGUUGCCUAGCCUGGAAGAAUUCAGAGCUGGUGAGGGAAAAGCAAGCCACGGCUGGUUUUAAAGAACAAAACUGGACCUCCAGGGAAACUGGUGAAUGAAUCAGCCUGGAUGGAGGGUGGAGGGAGCAAGCUGGGCUGGGCUGUCCGGAAAACUGAACACCCAGCAAUCUCACACAGGAAGAUGACGUUCACGCCUUUCAUUGCAGAACUCUGAGCAGAGGCUACUAAUGCCACAGGCCAAAAGGAGAGAACAGAUCUCUCCAUCCCAACCCUGACCCCACCACUCAGCCAUGACCCUGGGAUGUACAUAGGACUUUAUCAAGAAGUUACCCUUCCAGGGGUUGGGGAUUUAGCUAAGUGGUAGAGCGCUUGCCUAGCAAAUGCAAGGCCCUGGGUUCGGUCCCCAGCUCCGAAAAAAAGAAAAA